GACGAACGCUGGCGGCGCGCUUAACACAUGCAAGUCGAACGGAAAGGCCUGCUUUCCCUUGUGGAUUGCGGGUACUCGAGUGGCGAACGGGUGAGUAACACGUGAGUGAUCUGCCCCCAACUUGGGUAUAAGCCUGGGAAACUGGGUCUAAUUCCCGAUAGGACUGCAGGGUGGUUCCUGUGGUGGAAAACGAUUUUCUAGUGGUUGGGGAUGAGCUCGCGGCCUAUCAGCUUGUUGGUGGGGUAAUGGCCUACCAAGGCGGCGACGGGUAGCCGGCCUGGGAGGGUGGACGGCCACAUUGGGACUGGGAUACGGCCCAGACUCCUACGGGAGGCAGCAGUGGGGAAUAUUGCACAAUGGGCGGGAGCCUGAUGCAGCGACGCCGCGUGGGGGGUGACGGCCUUCGGGUUGUAAACUCCUUGCGACCGCGAGGAAGCCACCUGGUUGGAAGGGUGGUGACGGUAGUGGUAGAAGAAGCACCGGCUAACUACGUG
rnacentral:rRNA from 1 species